UGAGGCCUUCUCAUCUCUUUUUUCAUCAGAUCAUGACUAACAUUUCAGAAUCUGGAUUUGAACCCCGAUCUCUGACUCAGAAGCGUGGUCUCUAUCCAUUCAAGGAAGAAGCCAACAUUUCAACAGAUAACAAGUAGGCUCCACGCACAGCAUGGAAACCAACACCAACACGGUGCUUGAAAUCACGACCCUGAGAUGGAAACCAGAGAUGAGAUAAAGAGUUUGGCCACUUGCCAACUGAGCCACUCAGAUGCCCUACAACGGAUAUUUAU